GUAGGGAAUAUUGGGCAAUGGACGCAAGUCUGACCCAGCCAUGCCGCGUGCAGGAAUGACGGCCCUAUGGGUUGUAAACUGCUUUUCUGCGGGAAGAACCCCCCGAUCGUGAUCGGGGCUGACGGUACCGCAGGAAUAAGCAUCGGCUAACUCCGUGCCAGCAGCCGCGGUAAUACGGAGGAUGCAAGCGUUAUCCGGAUUUAUUGGGUUUAAAGGGUGCGCAGGCGGAACAUUAAGUCAGUGGUGAAAGCCUACAGCUCAACUGUAGAAUUGCCAUUGAUACUGUUGUUCUUGAGUUCAGUUGAAGUGGGCGGAAUGUGUCGUGUAGCGGUGAAAUGCAUAGAUAUGACACAGAACUCCGAUCGCGAAGGCAGCUCACUAAGCUGAUACUGACGCUCAUGCACGAAAGCGUGGGGAUCAAACAGGAUUAGAUACCCCAGUAGUCC
rnacentral:rRNA from 1 species